CCGAGCAGUCAGCCAGAGGACAAACAUUGGCCUGCGGGAGUCAGUGGAAAAGUCCAGCCGUUUGUCAAGUGGACAGCUAUGGAGGUUGUCAGCCAUGAGGAAUAAGCAGUUUGUACUGGCCUCAAGCUUCCCUGAAGAAAGAGCUGCCCCACAGGCGUAUUUCUUAACACUGGGGGCAAUACCUAACUUGUGGCCCAUAAAACAAAACUUUUCAAAUUGACUUUUUGCCUAAUUCUUUUCUACGUUAAUCCACCCAUUCCUCGGACAGAUCCAAUGUCCGAGAAGCAGUUGUAAAGAACCAGGAGGGAGACUAGUAUCUUUACAGCCAGAAGCCCGAGACAUGACUUUUAUGCCCUGAUGGUGGGGGUGUAAGUCAAAAGUCUUACCUAUAUAUUUACCAUAGUAGUUUUACCUCUAGGAAUUUAUAUAAGGGAAAUUUAUUUAAGAAACAUGCUCACAACAUAUUGAGUUUAAAACAUGGAAAAUAAGAGCCAGGUAAUAAAAGAAUAUGUACCAUUUAUUACCAUAACCAUUUUUAUAUAUAUAUAAAAAAGCAAUAACCCAAAAGCUCAGUAAUAGAGGGCUUUCUAAGUCCUUGUUCUAAGUACUUCAGAGACGCUGAUUUGUUUAAUCCUUACGCUGUUAGGUGCCGUUAUUAUCCCCAUUUUACAGAUGAAGAAACUAACGCGCAGAGAGGUUGGAAAGCCUGCUGAUAUCAUAUGCUAGCGAGCUGUGGAGCUGAGACUGGGCAGGCUCUGAGGUCUGUGCUCUUCCCACUGCACACUGCCUCUCAGUAUGGAAAAAAGACUGGAAGGACAUUCCCUCAACACCUUAACAGUGGUUAUCUCUGGGAGGGGGAAGAACUGAGGAAAUGAAUCUCCCCAGACACCCAGCUUUCUUCUCUGAUAAACUGUCAAGGGAAGAGCCUUUGAGUCUUUUACGGCUGGGAUGGAGCCUCGUUCACUGUUGUAUCCCCAGGGCUUGGCAGAGUGCCUGCCUCGAAGAAGGCACCAGAUAAAUCUUGGUUAAAUAAAUGUUUUGUAUUAAACA
rnacentral:lncRNA from 1 species